AAGGAACAAAUCACCGAAGGAGGAUAUCUUUGUGAAGCGGACCUUGAUCAUGGCACCACGUUAAACAAGAAAAUUAGAAAUGCUCAGCUUGCACAGUAUAACUUUAUAUUUGUGGUCGGUGAAAAGGAAGCCACGUCGAAUACGGUGAAUGUUCGUACAAGAGACAACAUUGUCCACGGCGAGAGAUCCAUCGAAGCUGUGCUGAACAAGUUUGCAACCCUAGCUUCAGAGCGCAUUAGAAAUAGCGAGGAUGACUUCUAAACUGAUAUUUAAUUAAAAUUUUACAGUUAACUUUCUUUCUUAUUGACGCCUGGUUUACUCUUGAGAUUUUUGCAGAGCGAUUGUCCCCGCAAGAACCGACAGCAGUUUUCAAUCGACUGCGAAGGGCUUARAAAAUAACUAAUUUUGUUUACGCGAGAUUUUUGCAAUAAGGUCGCCAUCUUGGAUCUCUUCGGCUUGUGAAUAAAAGAUAUGCAGUGACGCAGUUUUUGUAGGGGGAAACAUGCUUGGAAUGACAUAAAUUUUUCAUGGCCGCUAAAGACGUUUUCUCGUUUCUACACGGAAAAUAUGAAAUAACUUUUUUCUUCGAGGCUGUAUUCAGUCAAAAGACUGCAGUUGCUGCUUUGCUAUGCAAAAUGGCGAUGCUACAUGUUGUGUAGUCAAUAAAAACCUAUGAAAUGUAAUACAAAAUCUUAGAAUAUAAAUAGUUUUAUUUUCAUAAAAUUUUCUAUUGAAUUGUACAAUGUUAAACAAGAAUUUACAUCCAAUAUGGCGACAAUAUUGACGAGAGGGACCUUCGUAAAGAAAUAUUAAUUAAGGUAGGGAAAACCAAAUCAGUCAAAUACUAAAAAUACAACACCACAUAGAACAUGAAAUUUUACCGGUGCUGCUUAAAAUUAACAUUAAGUAWAAAAUUAAUUGCUCAAGUAGGUAUGUAGUCCUCCUCGCAAAAUAAAAUCACACAAAAUUCAGUAAUGUUAUUUAUGUAAAAGUUGAAAAUCAUCAUUAAAAACAUGAAUAGUC